rnacentral:snRNA from 1 species
GUGCUCGCUUCAGCAGCACAUAUACUAAAAUUGGAACGAUACAGAGAAGAUUAGCAUGGCCAAAAAAUAAAAAUAAAAGAAAUUUUUUUAAUUCUA